CGGAGGCUACUGCUAUUGGGGUUCGAUUAAUUCUUGCAAGUUGAACGAUUCUUCGGAAUCGUGGCGAACGGCUCAGUAACACGUGGAUAACCUACCCUUAGGACCGGUACAACCCUGGGAAACUGGGGACAAUCCCGGAUAGGUGAUUUUUUCUGUAAUGAUUUUUCAUUUAAAUGCUCCGGCGCCUGAGGAUGGGUCUGCGGCAGAUUAGGUAGUUGGUAGGGUAAUGGCCUACCAAGCCGGUGAUCUGUACGGGUUGUGAGAGCAAGAGCCCGGAGAUGGAACCUGAGACAAGGUUCCAGGCCCUACGGGGCGCAGCAAGCGCGAAACCUCCGCAAUGCGAGAAAUCGCGACGGGGGGACCCCAAGUGCCACUCUUAACGGGGUGGCUUUUCUUGAGUGUAAAAAGCUUUUGGAAUAAGGGCUGGGCAAGACCGGUGCCAGCCGCCGCGGUAACACCGGCAGCUCUAGUGGUAGCCAUUUUUAUUGGGCCUAAAGCGUUCGUAGCCGGUUUGAUAAGUCUCUGGUGAAAUCCUGUAGCUUAACUGUGGGAAUUGCUGGAGAUACUAUUAGACUUGAGGUCGGGAGAGGUUAGCGGUACUCCCAGGGUAGGGGUGAAAUCCUGUAAUCCUGGGAGGACCACCUGUGGCGAAGGCGGCUAACUGGAACGAACCUGACGGUGAGGGACGAAAGCCAGGGGCGCGAACCGGAUUAGAUACCCGGGUAGUCCUGGCCGUAAACG
rnacentral:rRNA from 1 species